rnacentral:rRNA from 1 species
GAUGAACGCUGGCGGCGUGCCUAAUACAUGCAAGUCGAGCGAACGGACGAGAAGCUUGCUUCUCUGAUGUUAGCGGCGGACGGGUGAGUAACACGUGGAUAACCUACCUAUAAGACUGGGAUAACUUCGGGAAACCGUAGCUAAUACCGGAUAAUAUUUUGAACCGCAUGGUUCAAAAGUGAAAGACGGUCUUGCUGUCACUUAUAGAUGGAUCCGCGCUGCAUUAGCUAGUUGGUAAGGUAACGGCUUACCAAGGCAACGAUGCAUAGCCGACCUGAGAGGGUGAUCGGCCACACUGGAACUGAGACACGGUCCAGACUCCUACGGGAGGCAGCAGUAGGGAAUCUUCCGCAAUGGGCGAAAGCCUGACGGAGCAACGCCGCGUGAGUGAUGAAGGUCUUCGGAUCGUAAAACUCUGUUAUUAGGGAAGAACAUGUGUGUAAGUAACUGUACACAUCGUGACGGUACCUAAUCAGAAAGCCACGGCUAACUACGUG